UACGUAGGGUGCGAGCGUUGUCCGGAAUUAUUGGGCGUAAAGAGCUCGUAGGCGGUUUGUCACGUCUGCUGUGAAAUCCCGAGGCUCAACCUCGGGUCUGCAGUCGAUACGAGCAAACUAGAGUGUUGCAGGGGAGACUGGAAUUCCUGGUGUAGCGGUGAAAUGCGCAGAUAUCGGGAGGAACACCGGUGGCGAAGGCGGUUCUCUGGGCCUGUACUGACGCUGAGGAGCGAAAGCGUGGGGAGCGAACAGG
rnacentral:rRNA from 1 species